rnacentral:rRNA from 1 species
AUGGGGAUGCACGGCGGGACAAGCUGGCGCCGACGGACGCAAGAAGCCGUCGCCGUGGUGCUGGCUCUGGCAACACUAGGAGCUGUUGCUGCCGCCGUAGAGCAACACCAACAUGAGACGACCUCCAAGGUUGCCGGCGGCAAUGCCGCGGACGUCUCGUGGACGGAGGCGUCGGGCGUGAACGUCACCGCCAUCUGCUCGUCCACGCCGUACCCGGGCGCGUGCCGGAUGGUGCUGUCCUCGUCGGCGUCGCGGACCGCCAAGGACCCGUUCGCGGCCUCCGUGCAGUUCGCCAUGGCCCGGGCCGCGUCGGCGCGCGUGCUGGCGCGCAACCUCUCGUCCUCGCGCCGGAGCAGGGCCGUGCUACCGCCCUCGGGCAUGGACGACUGCGCCGAGCUGCUCGACAUCAGCCACGGCCAGCUCGGCGACGCGCUCGCCGCCGGCUCCGCGCACGAUGCGACCACGUGGCUCAGCGCCGCGCUCACGAACCAGGGUACCUGCGCCGACAGCCUCGACGCCGUGCCGGCCUCCUCCGGGCGCGAGGGCGUGCGCCAGAGGGUCGGCGCGCUCGCGGAGUUCAUCGGCACGGCGCUCGCGCUGCACGCCAUUCUCAAGGGCGGGAGCGCGACGCCGCCACCAUCUGCCACGCCCACUCAGUCGUCGACGCCGUCGAACCGGGCAUUCCCGUCCUGGGUCUCCGACCACGACAGGAAGCUCCUGGAGUCCGCGGCUGGCGGCAUGACGCCGGACGCCGUGGUGGCACUGGACGGCAGCGGGACGCACCGUAGCAUCGGCGAGGCGAUCGCCGCGGUCACGGCAGCGGCAAUGGCGCCGGUGGGCUCCUCCAAGGCGGGCGUCGGAGCAGCCAGGAAGGUGAUCUACGUGAAGGCCGGGCGGUACGAGGAGACCGUGCGGAUCUCGAGAAGGCAGAGGAACGUGAUGCUGAUGGGCGACGGCAAGGGGAAGACGGUCAUCGUCGGCCACAGGAGCGCCGCCGACGGCUACACCACCUACGCCUCCGCCACCGUCGCUGCCAUGGGCUCGGGCUUCAUAGCCAAGGGCCUGACCAUCAUCAACGACGCCGGGCCGCGCAAGGGCCAGGCGGUGGCGCUGCGGGUCGGCGGCGACCUCUCCGUCGUGUACCAGUGCGACAUCGAGGCAUACCAGGACACCCUCCACACGCACUCCAAUCGCCAGUUCUACACCGAGGACAUCAUCUCCGGCACGGUGGACUUCAUCUUCGGCAACUCCGCGGUGGUCAUCCAAAACUGUGACAUCCGUCCCAGGAAGCACCCGUUCGGCCAAAAGGACAUGAUCACGGCCCAGGGCCGGACCGACCGGAACCAGAACACCGGCAUCUCCAUCCACAAGUGUCGGAUCGCCGCCGCCUCGGACCUAGGCGACACAAAGGUGUACCUGGGUCGUCCAUGGAAGAAGUACUCGCGGACCGUCGUGAUGGAGAGCUCUCUCGACCGUUCGAUCGCCGCAGCCGGGUGGCUGGAGUGGUCGGGCCAGUUCGCGCUCAACACGUUGUACUACGGGGAGUAUGGGAACACUGGGCCUGGCGCGGGGACAAGCGGGCGGGUGAAGUGGGCCGGAGUGCACACGUCACUGUCCACGGUGGACGCCACACGGUUUACGGUGAGGGAUUUUAUCUUGGGAGACUCGUGGUUGGGUGACACCGGAGUGAGCUACACUUCCGGGCUAUGA